AUUGAACGCUAGCGGGAUGCUUUACACAUGCAAGUCGAACGGUAGCACGAAGAAAGCUUGCUUUCUUUGGUGACGAGUGGCGAACGGGUGAGUAAUGUAUCGGAACGUACCCAGUAGCGGGGGAUAACUACGCGAAAGCGUGGCUAAUACCGCAUACGCCCUACGGGGGAAAGGGGGGGAUCGCAAGACCUCUCACUAUUGGAGCGGCCGAUAUCGGAUUAGCUAGUUGGUGGGGUAAAGGCCCACCAAGGCGACGGUCCGUAGCUGGUUUGAGAGGACGACCAGCCACACUGGGACAGAGACACGGCCCAGACUCCUACGGGAGGCAGCAGUGGGGAAUUUUGGACAAUGGGGGCAACCCUGAUCCAGCCAUCCCGCGUGUGCGAUGAAGGCCUUCGGGUUGUAAAGCACUUUUGGCAGAGAAGAAACGACUCUGGAUAAUACCCGGGGUUAAUGACGGUAUCUGCAGAAUAAGCACCGGCUAACUACGUGCCAGCAGCCGCAGUAA
rnacentral:rRNA from 1 species